UACGUAGGGUGCGAGCGUUGUCCGGAAUUACUGGGCGUAAAGAGCUCGUAGGUGGUUUGUCGCGUUGUUCGUGAAAACUCACAGCUCAACUGUGGGCGUGCGGGCGAUACGGGCAGACUGGAGUACUGCAGGGGAGACUGGAAGUUCCUGGUGGUAGCGGUGAAAUGCGCAGAUAUCAGGAGGAACACCGGUGGCGAAGGCGGGUCUCUGGGCCGAAACUGACGCUGAGGAGCGAAAGCGUGGGGAGCAAACAGG
rnacentral:rRNA from 1 species